CUCCCUGCAGAUCCCCCCAGCCUGCCUCUGCCAAGGACCUUGACCUAUCAGGGACUUGGUCGCCACGCUUAGCUCCCCCUGACCUGCUUUUGAACCCGCUAAUCCCACCCCAACUCUUUGCCCGACGUUCGCUCCACGCGCUAAUUCCCGCUCGCCCCGCAACCCCCACUCCCUCUCGGCCCCGGCCCCGAGACUCUGAAGGGCACCACCAGGGCUCCACACGGUGUCCCCGACUCACGCCCCGAGCUCCAUACCAAAGCAAACGGCCUCAGCUACAAACACCUCUCCUCUUGGCUCUCCUUAAUGUAAUUCGUUUAAAGAAAAUAAUAGCCAUAUAAAUAUCACAGUCUUCUGUAACGGCAACGAAUCUGGCAAAGUGGCUGUGCAGUGGAGCCUGGGAAGGGGAAGGGGGCCCCCCCAAAGCCAGAAAGGCUGCAAGAAACGCAGAGCCAG
rnacentral:lncRNA from 1 species